CACCUUCCAUGGUAGAAUUUCAACCAGUAGCUCAAGAAGCACGCAACAGAAGGAUGGUGCAGAACCUGUUGCUGGGGUGUCCAACCCAUUAGCUUACGACUGCCUAUUCGGUCUUUGAAUCCUUCUGGGUAAGCUUCAUUCGUUGCAUCAGUCAUAUCAGGUCGCACAACCCAUAAGCUGAAUUGCAUAUUAUCCAGUCCGCCAGUUUCAUCGAUUCCUUUUGUCGCCAGUUUCAGUGUUGACUGCAGGCAUUGCCGGUGACAGAUGAAUCAUCUGUUUUUUCACAACAGUUCCUACAAUGGAAG
rnacentral:lncRNA from 1 species